AGGAUGAACGCUAGCGGCAGGCUUAAUACAUGCAAGUCGAGGGGCAGCACAGGGUAGCAAUACCUGGGUGGCGACCGGCAAACGGGUGCGGAACACGUACAGAACCCUCCUUCGAGCGGGGAAUAGCCCAGAGAAAUUUGGAUUAAUACCCCAUAGUAUAAUGGUGUGGCAUCACAUUAUUAUUAAAGAUUUAUCACUUGAAGAUGGCUGUGCGUAUGAUUAGGUAGUUGGCGGGGUAACGGCCCACCAAGCCUACGAUCAUUAACUGGUGUGAGAGCACGACCAGUCACACGGGCACUGAGACACGGGCCCGACUCCGUACGGGAGGCAGCAGUAAGGAAUAGUUGGUCAAGUGGACGACAAGUCUGAACCAGCCAUGCCGCGUGGAGGAGUAGAAGGUCCUCGUGAGUUACGUAAACCUUCUUUUUA
rnacentral:rRNA from 1 species